AUUAUUUACAAAAAAAUAUAUGUAUGAAAGAAAUCAAUAAAUAUAAAACAGUGUUGUUAACUAACUAACUAAGUUUGUAUAAUGCAACAGAGGAGUUAAUACUUUGGUUCAAUACUAUUUAAAAUUAUUUAACUGAUUUUUAUAUUCAUUAUGUCUAAAAUAUUAUCUUCUUUAAAGGAGUUAGAUUUUCAGUUAUUUUUUAUAAUAUAUUGUCUACAAUAUUUGUUUUUGUUUUUAAUGUAUUGAUAGUUGAUAACACUGAUUGUUCUGUAAAUAGUGAUGGAUAUAAAAUACUUGAUGUAUUCGAGUAACCACAUUUAUAAAUUAAUAAUAAUAUAUUUUUAAUUUAUAAAAGUAUAACAAAAGUAAAAAUCAACAAUAUAUCAACAAUAUGGAAUGUUGGAAAAUUAUUUAAUUACAACUUAUUUUAAUUUUUAAUAAUUUUGUUUGUAAGUAAAACACGAUUACUUGUGAAGAUUUAUAAAGAAGUACGACUACUUAGUAUUUUGUAAACGUAUUCUCUAUAUUUUUUGUUCAAAAAAGAAGAAGCGCAAAUUAAUGGCUGAAGUGUUAAAAAGUAAAAUUUGAAAUAAAAAAAGAGUUAAAAGUAAAAUUUAAAAUAAAAAAAGAGUUAAAAAACAAUUAUUUAAAAAGUUUAAACAGUGGUUAAAAAUAUCUAUUUAAGUUAUAUCAGGUAAGGAAUCUUUCAUCUUCAAACCAAGCAGACCAGUCCGUUUAUAAUGAGGAUCACGAGUCUACCCAAAAUUUUUCACAACCCCUACGGGAAAAAUUGAGAAUAUGGUUCCUAGAGUUUGGUCCAUCUGUACAGUGCUGCAACUCCCUCUUGAAGAUUUUGAAAUACGAAAAUAUGGAUGUUCCCAUCAGUGUUGGCGGUCUCUUACAGAGAACGGAAAAAUGCCAAACUAAAAAAUUAAAUGUACACUUUCUAAAACUUUAUACCUAUUAUUCAUUUUAACAGUAAUAUGCUAUAAAAUGAACUUAAAAUGUAAAAAAAUAUUGUGAUAAAUUUAUUGAACAGACUGAAUAUGAAAAUUAAAAAUUAAAUAAACAAAUUAUUUAACUACAAAGACUACUAUAAAUACAAAUUAUUACAAGUAGUACUAUAUAUAAAUGCAGGAGUAAAUUAGAUAUAUUAUACAAUUUACAUUCUUCUUCUCAACAAAAAAUGGAUAAAUUUUUGUUAAAUAAAAAAAUAACUUUAAUCUAUUUAAAGCACUGAAAAUAAGCCCAAA